GCGGCACCGCGGCGUGGGGGCGCGUGGCGUGGUCGUCCGCGAGGUGUGCAGUGACGCGGUGGCCCGCGAGUCUGCCAGCGCGGCGCCGUGCAGUGUGGAUACCGAAGUUCAUGGCGGAGUGCCGCCGCACGCGCGGCCAAGGAUCCAAAAUGUGAUUUUUUUAAAAAUCUCUUUCUCUCGUUUUUCCUUUAAAAUGCGUCCGCGAGACAACGCCAGUGACAGUGCACCGCCCCAUGGAUUACUCCGCCCAUAAGGAUUACGCAGUGUAACGGACGGCGAUGGAGGGGCCGCAGCGAGGAGGGCCGGG